rnacentral:rRNA from 1 species
CGUAGGGCGAACGUUAGUCCGGAAUGACUGGGCGUAAGGGACGAGUAGGUGGUUUGCCAAGUCAGGAGUGAAACUACCGGGCUCAACCUGGAGAUUGCUACUGAAACUGGCAGACUUGAGUGCAGGAGAGGGAAGCGGAAUUCCUAGUGUAGCGGUGAAAUGCGUAGAUAUUAGGAGGAACACCAGUGGCGAAGGCGGCUUCCUGGCCUGUAACUGACACUGAGGCGCGAAAGCGUGGGGAGCGAACAGGAUU